UACCAGCACCCCGAGUGGUCGGGACGUUUAUUGGGCCUAAAGCAUCCGUAGCCGGUUCUGCAAGUCUUCCGUUAAAUCCACCUGCUCAACAGUUGGGCUGCGGAGGAUACUAUAGAGCUAGGAGGCGGGAGAGGCAAGCGGUACUUAGUGGGUAGGGGUAAAAUCCGUUGAUCCAUUGAAGACCACCAGUGGCGAAGGCGGCUUGCCAGAAUGCGCUCGACGGUGAGGGAUGAAAGCUGGGGGAGCAAACCGG
rnacentral:rRNA from 1 species